AGUGACUCACAGCUCAGAGCACUGAGAGCCUCAACAGAGAACUGAACUGAUCUGAUUGAACAUGGACAGAUGCUUCAUACUGAUUCUCGUCGUGGGAACAGGUUUGGUGACUGGAGACAGCAUUGAGCCAGAUAAAGGGACAGAAAAAAGUUCUAAAGAAACAGAAACUGUCAAGCUGAGCUGUUCAUAUAGUGCAAGUAGCGGUAUUGUUCGGCUUUACUGGUACAGACAGUAUCCCAACAGAGACCCUCAGUUCUUAUUAUACAAAUAUGCACCAUCAUCGAGUGAUUAUGAAGACACCUCUGAUGAUCGAUUUCAUUCAGCUACAACACAAUCCUCCACUGAACUCACUAUCACUGAUAUACGUCUGUCAGAUUCAGCUCUCUAUUAUUGUGCUCUAAGAGUCGGUGCCCAGUGAUACAAAACAUGAGACAUGUCAUACAAAAACCUGAAGCUCUUUUCACUUUAAAAUUAUCUACUGAAAACCACAGUCAGAACCACAAUUUAUACAGCUCUGAAUGUAAUAAAAUAUGUGGUCACAGCUGUGAGAGUCUGAAGUUGGUCUGUUAUAAAAUCUACUUAUAAAAAAAACUUAAAUGUUGCAACCAAACCAAAUCUGAUUCAAAAGUGCUUAACAAAUUUACUAUACCACCACCCAAUAUAACGUAUAACUCCCCUAAACUAACAUUAUUGGUAAUUACCAAAAUACUUUUUUUCUGUAAUUGUUAAUCUACCAGUUUGUGCUCACAGUUGUAUUUCUAAUUGAUUAAUGUCAGAUGAUAGAAUUAUUAGUUUUAAGUUUGUGUGCGUACAUACUUUUUAUGUGUGUGUGUGUUUGUACUGGUAUAUAUGGUUUAUGAGGACACAAAUGUGUAUAAUGACAUGGGUACUACAAAGUAAACACGGUUUAUGAGGACACUUCACUUCAUGUGUGUAUACAUACACAUAUGCACACACACAAAAACAUAUACACAGACACACUCAAAUAGUUUCUGACAUAAGCAUAUUUUUUCCUGUUAGAAAGUAAACAGACUCCAUCGGUGAGCGGGGUUUAUUCACACUGUUGAGAGCGUGAGCCAGAGUUAAACAGUUAAAGUCUAU